rnacentral:rRNA from 1 species
UACGUAGGCAGCGAGCGUUGUUCGGAGUUACUGGGCGUAAAGGGUGUGUGGGCGGUUGUUUAAGUUUGGUGUGAAAUCUCCCGGCUCAACUGGGAGGGUGCGCCGAAUACUGAAUGACUUGGAGUGCGGGAGAGGAGAGUGGAAUUCCUGGUGUAGCGGUGAAAUGCGUAGAUAUCAGGAGGAACACCGGUGGUGUAGACGGCUCUCUGGACCGUAACUGACGCUGAGACACGAAAGCGUGGGUAGCAAACAGG